GGGGCCGGCUGCGAGCGCGGGUAGAUGUGGCGGCUCCUUCGAGGUUGUCUGAUUUUAAGAGCUUGCUCAGAUAUGACGAUGGACAUUGCAAAGAGUGGCGAACGGGUGAGUAACACGUGGGAAACCUACCUCUUAGCAGGGGAUAACAUUUGGAAACAGAUGCUAAUACCGUAUAACAAUGACAACCGCAUGGUUGUUAUUUAAAAGAUGGUUCUGCUAUCACUAAGAGAUGGUCCCGCGGUGCAUUAGCUAGUUGGUAAGGUAAUGGCUUACCAAGGCGAUGAUGCAUAGCCGAGUUGAGAGACUGAUCGGCCACAAUGGGACUGAGACACGGCCCAUACUCCUACGGGAGGCAGCAGUAGGGAAUCUUCCACAAUGGGCGAAAGCCUGAUGGAGCAACGCCGCGUGUGUGAUGAAGGGUUUCGGCUCGUAAAACACUGUUGUAAGAGAAGAAUGACAUUGAGAGUAACUGUUCAAUGUGUGACGGUAUCUUACCAGAAAGGAACGGCUAAAUACGUGCCAGCAGCCGCGGUAAUACGUAUGUUCCAAGCGUUAUCCGGAUUUAUUGGGCGUAAAGCGAGCGCAGACGGUUAUUUAAGUCUGGAGUGAAAGCCCUCAGCUCAACUGAGGAAUUGCUUUGGAAACUGGAUGACUUGAGUGCAGUAAGGAAAGUGGAACUCCAUGUGUAGCGGUGAAAUGCGUAUAUAUAUGGAAGAACACCAGUGGCGAAGCGGCUUUCUGGACUGUAGCUGACGUUGAGGCUCGAAAGUGUGGGUAUCAAACAAGAUUAGAUACCCCUGGUUGGUCCACACCGUAAACGAUGAGUGCUAGGUGUUUGAGGGUUGCCGCGCUUAAGUGCCGCAGCUAACAGCAGUUGA
rnacentral:rRNA from 1 species